rnacentral:rRNA from 1 species
AUAACGCAGCGAAAGCUGUGCUAAUACCGCAUGUGAUCUGAGGAUGAAAGCGGGGGACUAGGCAGCGAUGCUUGGCCUCGCGCCUUUGGAGCGGCCGAUGUCGGAUUAGCUAGUUGGUGGGGUAAAGGCCUACCAAGGCGACGAUCCGUAGCUGGUCUGAGAGGACGGCCAGCCACACUGGGACUGAGACACGGCCCAGACUCCUACGGGAGGCAGCAGUGGGGAAUUUUGGACAAUGGGCGCAAGCCUGAUCCAGCAAUGCCGCGUGCGGGAAGAAGGCCUUCGGGUUGUAAACCGCUUUUGGCAGGAACGAAAAGCUCUGGGCGAAUACCCUGGGGUGAUGACGGUACCUGCAGAAUAAGCACCGGCUAACUACGUGCCAGCAGCCGCGGUAAUACGUAGGGUGCGAGCGUUAAUCGGAAUUACUGGGCGUAAAGCGUGCGCAGGCGGUUGUGUAAGACAGGCGUGAAAUCCCCGGGCUUAACCUGGGAAUGGCGCUUGUGACUGCACGGCUGGAGUGCGGCAGAGGGGGAUGGAAUUCCGCGUGUAGCAGUGAAAUGCGUAGAUAUGCGGAGGAACACCGAUGG